AUGCACGCUGGCGGCGUGCCUAAUACAUGCAAGUCGAGCGAACAGACGAGGAGCUUGCUCCUCUGACGUUAGCGGCGGACGGGUGAGUAACACGUGGAUAACCUACCUAUAAGACUGGGAUAACUUCGGGAAACCGGAGCUAAUACCGGAUAAUAUAUUGAACCGCAUGGUUCAAUAGUGAAAGACGGUUUUGCUGUCACUUAUAGAUGGAUCCGCGCCGCAUUAGCUAGUUGGUAAGGUAACGGCUUACCAAGGCAACGAUGCGUAGCCGACCUGAGAGGGUGAUCGGCCACACUGGAACUGAGACACGGUCCAGACUCCUACGGGAGGCAGCAGUAGGGAAUCUUCCGCAAUGGGCGAAAGCCUGACGGAGCAACGCCGCGUGAGUGAUGAAGGUCUUCGGAUCGUAAAACUCUGUUAUUAGGGAAGAACAAAUGUGUAAGUAACUAUGCACGUCUUGACGGUACCUAAUCAGAAAGCCACGGCUAACUACGCG
rnacentral:rRNA from 1 species